UUCCACUCAGUGCCUGGAUGCCCGACUGUGAGAUAGACGUGGAGCAAUGUGACUGUCUUCCUAGACCUGAACCAACUCUGCAGCCAGAACCCAUCCAACGCUGUCAGCUCAACUCCUCCAUCUGUGCCAGCAGGCGUCGACAUUUUGACCAAGCCUCCUGCAGAUGCAAAUGGCCCAAGUAGAAGUCCAGUUGGGAAUUUAAAUGACGACAACCUGCUCACGAAGGAAGUUCGGAGGCAGAGAAAAAAGGCUCAUAAUUUAUUUACUGUCCUAUUUAUGCUGAUCACUAAUUAAGAAGAUAUUAACUGAUACGACCAUGUUAACUGAUUUUUUAACAUGCUUACCUUAUGUUUCAAUCAAUGUCUAAAUUGUAUGAUUUGUACAUUUGUUCAUCAUGCACUGAAUAUGUAGUUUAUAUUAAAGAUUAUUUUUAUAAUUUUAA